rnacentral:tRNA from 1 species
GCCUGGGCGGCUCAAUUGGUUGAGCGUCCGACUUUGGCUCGGGUCAUGAGCUCAUGGUUUGUGAGUUUGAAUCCCAUUUUGGGCU